rnacentral:rRNA from 1 species
CCCCUUACUACCUAUAGGGGGUGCAACCUGCUCAGUGGCUGCAAAUAAAUAAACUAAAUACAGUUAAAUAGCCGCGGUAACUCUGACCGUGAUAAAGUAGCAUAAUCACUUGUCACUUAAUUAGUGAAUGGAAUGAAUGGUUAAACGAAUCCUACACUGUCUCAAUAAGAAACCCUAUAAAAUUGGAAUUGUAGUGAAGAUACUACACUUAGAUUGCAAGACGAAAAGACCCUAUUGAGCUUUACUGGAUACUUAUAGUUACAAACUAAGAUAGUAAAUAUAUAAAAAUAUUAAUUGUAAGUAAGACAGUUUGGUUGGGGCGACCACCUCUAAAAUAGUAACAGAGGAGAUCUAAAGGUAUUAUUUAUGAAUACAUGCUUAACUGAAAUAGCUAUAGCUUUAACAGAUAUAAAACAUAGGACAUAGUGACCCGUUAUAUUAAACUUUAUAUAUAACGACUACAGAAAAAGUUACCAUAGGGAUAACAGGGUAAUAUUUUCUAAGAGUUCUAAUCGACGAAAAUGUUUGCCACCUCGAUGUUGAAUUGUGAUAUCCUAGGGGUGCAGCAGCUCCUGAGGGUUGGUCUGUUCGACCAUUAAAAU